CCCACUACUGCCUGUCGUCUUCACUUCCUCCGUUGCUCACCCCGCUAACCCUCAGCCCUCGAUCUCAUCUUUGCGUCUUUUCGGCUCAUAAUCAUCGCGCUGCCAUGAGGUUCAUAGCAUCCAGCAUCCUGCUGCUACUGCUGCUGCUAUGUGUUGUGGCCGAGUCGGAGGGUUCAAGAAACACACCGUGUACCCCAGUGGAUCCUGACGUUCCCUGCGACCGUUUCGCCGAUGAGUGCUCCCUGCACCGACCAACGGCUUCGUGUCCUUAUGGCACUUAUUGCUGUCACGGACCAUGUGGUAACGUGUGUGUCCGGCAGUUGCGUUAGUAACGGAGGUCUCAGGAGCGGCGGUGACUCCUGAAGUGACAAGAAGCCAUCCUGAGCUGCCGCCGCUAACGUUGCUCCACACUGCAGGCAACAGAGGUGGUUCACCACACAAGGUUUCAUAAGCUUGAUGACACGCAAGACAUGACAUGUAAAGAAUACAUUGAGGUGCUAGUUGGUUUCGCGUUAGGGUGGUGGACACUAGGCCGAAAGGCUGUUACAUCAAUCCCUGCGUGUGGCAGCUGUUUUGGACAGAAGAAUGGCGCCCCUCAUGCCCCUUGCUAGCCACCGCUACAGUGGUAAACACACACACACACACACACACACACACACUUUCCGCCGUUCGGCCUAUGAAUCUAAGUUACUCUGGCUUACGCUGUCUUAUACUAUCGGAGCGUCUCCCAUUCUUUUUUUCCUUGCGCUUUAGCUUAGCAAGUGAGGGCUCCUUGGCUCAGAACUUCUUUAUUAAGUAUUUCUUUACAAAAGGCACGCGCUUACUCGUCCCACGGACCUGAUACUCUGUCUACCUAUAAUGCAAAUAAAUGACUGACUGAGA